CUGCCCGGAGAAGCUGGGCGACUCUGAGC
rnacentral:piRNA from 1 species